GCGGCCGCUGGCGUCUGUCGGGGCUGGACGUCGGGGCGUCUGCUUUCGGGGCCGCUGCAGGGGCCGGUGCGGAGCGCGGGGCCGCGGGGCCUGCGGAGUGUGUGUGCGCGCGUGUGUCCGUGAGUGUGCACGCGCGCGUGUGUCCGUGAGUGUGUCGCUCCGUGCGCGCGCUGCACGCCCUGCGCGUUGCUGUCCGGGGCGAGUGUCCCCGCGCGGGCCCGGCACGGGGCAGCCCCGCUGAAGCUCUCAGGUGUGCCGGGGAGCCAGCGGCCUGCCGCGGACGCCCGCGGAGGGGCUGCGGGCGGCAGAGUGCGGUCCUGGGGUGCACGCCAGGGCAGAAUUUGAGCACUUUGCGUCCUCCCCCGUCCGGGCGAAGGCGCGGCUGAAGCGUGGUCGUCACCAGGUCGCCGCCAGCCUCCUACGAGUUCAGAAAGUGCGCGACAGGAAUCAUUGAUUCAUAUCAACGUGUUUGUUUUGUUCAGUCAAGAGAUUGUGAUAACUGAACAAUUUCCUCUUUCAACUAAACUUGGAAAAACUAUGUCCAGUUUCAAAUGCAAGCAUGUCACAGGUAUUAACCAUCCCUAGCCCCAAAUAUUGGAAGGUGGAAAACCAGGCCAAACGUGUAUGACUGAGUGAGCAUGGCCUCAACCAAUGAAAGUCUGCCCCUGAAAAAUUAUCUCUCAGAUGAACACAGAAUGGAUAUGUCUGGAGAUUGACUGACUCUUAAGGACUAAGUGCAAAGGAGAUCCAAGGGAAGGCUGCAGGGCCAACCCGAGCAGGCUCCAAGCAGGAUGAGGCACAGCCAAGACCCCGCCGUUGGCUGCGGCUGUGCGAUACUCCAGUGCAGGUACUGUGGGUCACCCGCUGGCGCCGCCCCGGCUCCCGCUGGCAGCACCACCUCGCUUGGGUGCCUCCAAGAGGCUGCACUCCAGCGCCACUGCAGCUGCCGCGGGGAGUCUCUGACCCUGAAUCUUGGUUCCUCCAUUAACGUUCAAAGUCCAGACAGGAGCCUCUGCCUGGCUCUGCUCUACCUGCCGCGGAUCAUGGGAUAUUUCCUCUUCCUUAGCUUCCACAGUGCGGUACAGGGCCUUCUCCCCACCCACCUUGCAAUUUCCCCUAAAUCGAACGCAAGGUUAUACACUGAGAAGCCAAAAAAACACUCAAUAUCCAGUAGGGCAUCACUAACUGACAUCUGAGGGAUUCUUGUCAGUUUACAAAGGCUUUGACACGUUUUCAUCCAAUUCUUAGUACAACAUAGAAAGUACUUCCAUCUUUGAGAUAAACAACUAUAGCUCCAAGAGGUUAACUGCCUAACUCAAAGUUGCAAUCCCAGCAGGAAAAUUAAAACUUUUGCAUGCCUGUCAUCUGUGAAAUACAGACCUCAGUGUUUUCACAUGCAAUUUCUUAUCUGAGUCUCACAAAACUUUGUGACAGAGCAUAAUUAGUCCCAUUACUCCCCGGAGGAAUAGAGGCCCUGGCCAGUGACGGAACAGGGACUUGUUCAAGGCUCUGACUCCAAAUCCUAUUCUCACUUCACGGCCCAGGGAGGCUGCUUGGCUGAGUUCUUCCCCUCCACCCCCCAACACUUUCUGUCUCCUGUUCAUACCAGCUACUCUCACACCCCUCUCGUGUCAGAAAUGUUUGUUAGAUGAAUACAUCUCCAACACUUUCCCUAAGGCACUAGCCAUGGGAGGAUAUUCUGUAAAGUUGUUUUCUGACAGUUUUCCUCUAGAGGGCUGGUCAAUAUGAAGAUGCAAAAUGGAAACAGAUUUGUUUUCUGGGGGCGAUUUCUUUACUCUGGACAUAUUUCAUAUCAACUAUGUCACACAAAUGUAAACAGUACCAAAUGCUGAGAAUGCUAACAAGGAGACAUAUCUGCGUGGUGUGCAUGCCAUGUGAUUUGUUGUUCACGAUCACAGUUCAGUGAGCUCUUCAGUGUUCAUGAUACAGGAGCCCUGCUUUCUCGUGUAAGCGGCUUCCGUUUCGGGAGCACAUCUGGAGAUGCUGCGCUGGGACGGGGUAAGGGCUCACGGGCAGUCACCUCUUCUUGAUUGUGGCAAACACCUGAGGGUUUUCAGGAUAUGGCUCCCAGCAGAGUCAAGCCGUGCCUUAGGCAUAGAGCUUAACUUUGCUCCCAGAUACCGUUCUUGCUGAUUCUGUACUUCCAGACGUUGGUCCAGGGCUCGAAGACUUCCCUGUGCUUCUUUGCCUUGGCUUCUCUUUCUGGACUCCAUCUUGCUUGCUGUGAGGAUUGCUGACUACUUCGUUUUCCCCGCCUAUGUUAUGUUUCUUACUCUGUCCUAGAAGAACUCAGUUCUUUCUAGGAUUUUGAGUUAAAGGAGACUGACCAGCUGGAUAUCUACUUACAGUUGUGGAAAAGAUUUGCUUAGACAAAGCCCGAGCAGUAAUGCAAUGCUGUUUCUUUCUAUUUCUCCAGCACUUAGGUCAUACCCAUAUUUGAUAGCUCCGUGGUUCCUUUAUUAAGCAGUUGGAUAAAGAGCAGCUGAAGGUAGCUCAGAAAGGUCCUUAACCUUUGUAUUGUAAACUAACUUGAAGAAGAGCCAGUAGGCCUGACCAGGGGGAGAGUGUGGGGUGGGCCUAGUGGAUGAGUGUGGACCUAUUGUUGCCUGAUGCAAAUAUUCAUGAGGAGUAUCCAUUUUCUUUUGUUUUUCUGACAGCACAGAGACGUUAACCGGCAUUCAGAUUUGUGGUUCGCUGGUUUCCUGAGAGCGGAUCCUGGUGCACAGAAAGGCUUCUUCUCACUGCCAUCCUUCAGCAGGGCUUUUGCUUUGGCUCAAAGAAACUGCUUACAGAGAAAGGGAGAGGUCUGAGCUCUGGGGAACUGAGUUUGGUCAUAGAAGCAUCCUUCGGGGCACAAAACCUGGAGUCUUUCUCAAUGCUUCUGGUGAAACUACAGCUCUAAAAGAAUUUGGGACGCGCACCCCCAAUCACUUACUUAUUCAUUUCAGCAUUUCUAGAUUUGCUCACAUGUUAGAUUUUUAGUAAAUAAGAUCGAGAACUUCUCAUGGUCUAGCUGAGCCAGACUCUUAAACUGAUAAGUCACAGCAGAAUGUGGUAAGAGCUCUACAGCUCCACAGGAUAUGGUAACCAAUGGGGAGAGGAUAUUUUGCACAAGAUUUUAAAAUACCAGACUUCACUUUGGUCUCUGCGGUGAAGUUUCUCUUUCAGAGUUGGUCAGGCAUUUCUACCCUGGCAACACAACAGACCUCCAACUAUUCUUGGUACAAGUGAAGCCUGGGGUGUGGGCACGGGUUGGAACUCGGACCUUGGAGAAGAUUCCAGGAGGAAGUCUGGAUGCAAAUGGGGCCUCAGUGUAAAAAUGGGUUUUUAUAGUCAAGAAAGUCUUAUAAAUAAUUUUAUUUUUCUAAGAAUCAGAAUAAAUUGGGAUUUAGGAUUUACAGAUAUAAAUGUUAUUUACACACACACACGUUCACACCACAAAUGUGUGUGUGUGUUUAUCUCUCUCUAUAUGUAGAUAUAGAGAUGCAUACAUACAUUUUUUUCACAAAAUUACUAUUCUUUUUCACAGCGUUACUAAAUAAGCAAAUACUGGUUAUCUUAUUUUUUU